GACGAACGCUGGCGGCGUGCCUAACACAUGCAAGUCGAACGGAAAGGCCUGCUUUUGUGGCGUGCUCGAGUGGCGAACGGGGGAGUAACACGUUAGUAACCUGCCCUUUCCUUUGGGAGGACGUUAGGAAACGGGAGCUAAUACCGGACAGGAGCUCCUCCUGCUUGGUUGGGCCUGGGAUGUUUUGGCGGUUGGGGAUGGACUCGGGGCUUAUCAGCUUGGUGGUGGGGUAGUGGCAUACCAAGGCUUUGCCGGGUUGCCGGCCUGAGAGGGUGACCGGCCACAUUGGGACUGAGAUACGGCCCAGACUCCUACGGGAGGCAGCGGUGGGGAAUAUUGCACAGUGGGAGGAAGCCUGAUGCAACCACGCCGCGUGCGGGAUGACGGCCUUCGGGUUGUAAACCGCUUUCGCCUGUGACGAAGCGUGAGUGACGGUACUGGGUGAAGAAGCACCGGCUAACUACGUG
rnacentral:rRNA from 1 species